GACGAACGCUGGCGGCGUGCUUAACACAUGCAAGUGGAGCGACGAACCGGGCUUCGGCCCGGGGCAAAGCCGCGAACGGGUGAGUAACACGUGGGUAACCUGCCCCAAAGACCGGGACAACCCGAGGAAACUCGGGCUAAUACCGGAUGUGUUCACUGUCCACAAGGACAGUGAGGAAAGGAAGCUUCGGCCUCCGCUUUGGGAUGGGCCCGCGGCCCAUUAGCUUGUUGGUGAGGUAACGGCUCAACAAGGCUGCGAUGGGUAGCUGGUCUGAGAGGACGGUCGGCCAGACUGGGAGUGAGAGACGGCCCAGACUCCUACGGGAGGCAGCAGUGGGGAAUCUUGCGCAAUGCGCGACAGCGUGGCGCAGCAACGCCGCGUGGGGGAAGAAGGCCUUCGGGUUGUAAACCUCUUUCAGGAGGGGCGAAGCUCCGGCAGCGAAUAGCUGUCCGGAGUGACGGUACCUCCACAAGAAGCCCCGGCUAACUACGUGCCAGCCGCCGCCGUAA
rnacentral:rRNA from 1 species